AGACGGGGGGGGCGAGCGUUGUUCGGAAUUACUGGGCGUAAAGGGCGCGCAGGCGGCUUGGGAAGUCUUGGGUGAAAGCCCCCAGCUCAACUGGGGAAUGGCCUGAGAAACCACUAGGCUGGAGUGCUGGAGAGGGAAGCGGAAUUCCCGGUGGAGCGGUGAAAUGCGUAGAUAUCGGGAGGAACACCAGAGGCGAAGGCGGCUUCCUGGACAGACACUGACGCUGAGGCGCGAAAGCUAGGGGAGCAAACGGGAUUAGAAACCCCGGUAGUCC
rnacentral:rRNA from 1 species